rnacentral:rRNA from 1 species
CCUACGGGGGGCAGCAGUGGGGGAUAUUGGACAAUGGGGGAGAGCCUGAUGCAGCGACGCCGCGUGUGGGAAGACGGUCCUCUGGAUUGUAAACCACUGUCCCCAGGGACGAAGAUGACGGUAGCUGGGGAGGAAGCUCCGGCCAACUGCGUGAGAGCAGGCUCGGUAAUACGUAGGGAGCGAGCGUUGUCCGGAUUUACGAGGUGUAAAGGGAGCGUAGGCGGGAUAGCAAGUUGGAGGUCAAAUCUACCGGCUCAACCGGUAGCCGACGUCGAAAAUGGAGGUCUUGAGUGAAGUAGAGGCAGGCGGAAUGCCUGGUGUAGCGGUGAAAUGCGUAGAUAUUAGGAAGAACACCGGUGGCGAAGGCGGCCUGCUGGGCUUUUACUGACGCUGAGGCUCGAAAGUGUGGGGAGCAAACAGGAUUAGAUACCCCUGUAGUC